GCUCCAGGAACCGCAUCAGGGAGGGAGUCUGACUGGGGUUAGUACACCUGUUGAACCGUAAUGCAGGUGUUCUAAGGUGAGCUCAGGUAGGGCAGAAACCUCACUUAAUCUUGAUUUUCAGGGUGAAUACAGUGAAAGCAGGGCAUUGCAUCCUUACUGACUUUUAGGGUUUUGAGCAGGAGGUAUUAG